rnacentral:rRNA from 1 species
CCUACGGGAGGCAGCAGUGAGGAAUAUUGGGCAAUGGAGGAAACUCUGACCCAGCAAUGCCGCGUGAAUGAAGAAGGUCCUCGGUAUGUAAAGUUCUUUAGUCAGGGAAGAAGUCAAUGACGCUACCUGAAGAAUAAGCUUCGGCUAAAUACGUGCAAGCAGCCGCGGUAAUACGUAGGGAGCAAGCGUUGUUCGGAUGGACUGGGCGUAAAGGGUGCGUAGGCGGUUGUACAAGUGAGAAGUGGAAUACCCAGGGCUUAACUCGGGUGCUGCUGCUAAAACUGGAUGACUUGAGUGCAGUAGAGGUUAGUGGAAUGCCUGGUGUAGCGGUGGAAUGCGUAGAUAUUAGGAGGAACACCGGUGGCGAAGGCAGCUAACUGGACUGCAACUGACGCUGAGGCACGAAAGUGUGGGGAGCGAACAGGAUUAGAUACCCGUGUAGUC